UUUGCCAUGUAGAAAUAUCACUUCUACCAAAAAAUUUGAUUUAUGAGGUUAGUGAUGUUGGACUAUUAUUUUCAACACAACUGUAUGUAAAUGUGGUUCCACGUAGAAGCAAAUAAAGCAGGUACUGUACAGUUUAAUUAACAUUAAUUUCACCUAUGUGCAGGCAAGAUUAAAAAAAAAGUGACAAUGCAAAAGAUUUAUCGACCAUCUUUAUUUACCGACAGAGGUCUCUAAUAGCAGGGCUAGAAUUCACACAUUUGUAGAGCACUUUAGCUGUUCCACACAACGACUGUAUUUCUUUCAGAGCAAUUAUGCAGUGGUACCACUGUGGAAGCUACAGCGCAAGUCAACAGUGGGUGGAAAAUAUCAGCACAGAACAGACUGCAAAAACCAACUGAGGCUGAGCUGAGAGUA